AUAUUGGGCAAUGGGUGCAAGCCUGACCCAGCCAUGCCGCGUGCCGGACGAAGGCCCUCAGGGUCGUAAACGGCUUUUACACGGGAAGAACCCCGGCCACGCGUGGCCGGCUGACGGUACCGUGGGAAUAAGCCCCGGCUAACUCCGUGCCAGCAGCCGCGGUAAUACGGAGGGUGCGAGCGUUGUCCGGAUUUAUUGGGUUUAAAGGGUGCGCAGGUGGCCCGGUCAGUCAGUGGUGAAAUACGGCCGCUCAACGGUCGAACUGCCAUUGAUACUGCCGGGCUUGAGAGAAGUGGAGGCCGCCGGAACGGACGGUGUAGCGGUGAAAUGCAUAGAUAUCGUCCAGAACGCCGAUUGCGAAGGCAGGUGGCUACGCUUCUUCUGACACUGAGGCACGAAAGCGUGGGGAGCGAACAG
rnacentral:rRNA from 1 species